GACGAACGCUGGCGGCGUGCUUAACACAUGCAAGUCGAACGGAAAGGCCCCUUUGGGGGUACUCGAGUGGCGAACGGGUGAGUAACACGUGAGUAACCUGCCCUUGACUUCGGGAUAACUUCAGGAAACUGGGGCUAAUACCGGAUAGGAAUCCUUGCUGCAUGGUGGGGGUUGGAAAGCUUCGGCGGUUUUGGAUGGACUCGCGGCUUAUCAGCUUGUUGGUGGGGUAGUGGCUUACCAAGGCGUUGACGGGUAGACGGCCUGAGAGGGCGACCGGCCACACUGGGACUGAGAGACGGCCCAGACGCCGACGGGAGGCAGCAGGGGGGAAGAUUGCACAAUGGGCGGAAGCCGGAUGCAGCAACGCCGCGUGCGGGAUGACGGCCUUCGGGUUGUAAACCGCUUUCAGCAGGGGCGAAGCUUGUGGUGACGGUACCUGCAGAAGAAGCACCGGCUAACUACGUG
rnacentral:rRNA from 1 species